GAACGUACGCUGGCGGCACGCCUAACACAUGCAAGUCGAACGAAGUAGCAAUACUUAGUGGCAGACGGGUGAGUAACAUGUAGGUAUCUGCCCUUUGGCCUGGAAUAACACGAGGAAACUUGUGCUAAUACCGGAUAAGUCUUUACGGAGAAAGCUUUAUGCACCAUUGGAUGAGCCUGCACUUGAUUAGUUUGUUGGUGGGGUAAUGGCCUACCAAGACUGUGAUCAAUAGCUGAUUUGAGAGGAUGAUCAGCCACAUUGGGACUGAGACACGGCCCAAACUCCUACGGGAGGCAGCAGUGGGGAAUCUUGCACAAUGGAGGAAACUCUGAUGCAGCGAUGCCGCGUGAGUGAAGAAGGCCCUUGGGUUGUAAAGCUCUUUCGUCGGGGAAGAAAAUGACUGUACCCGAAUAAGAAGGUCCGGCUAACUUCGUGCCAGCAGCCGCGGUAAUACGAAGGGACCUAGCGUAGUUCGGAAUUACUGGGCUUAAAGAGUUCGUAGGUGGUUGAAAAAGUUAGUGGUGAAAUCCCAGAGCUUAACUCUGGAACUGCCAUUAAAACUUUUCAGCUAGAGUAUGAUAGAGGAAAGCAGAAUUUCUAGUGUAGAGGUGAAAUUCGUAGAUAUUAGAAAGAAUACCAAUUGCGAAGGCAGCUUUCUGGAUCAUUACUGACACUGAGGAACGAAAGCAUGGGUAGCGAAGAGGAUUAGAUACCCUCGUAGUCCAUGCCGUAAACGAUGUGUGUUAGACGUUGGAAAUUUAUUUUCAGUGUCGCAGGGAAACCGAUAAACACACCGCCUGGGGAGUACGACCGCAAGGUUAAAACUCAAAUGAAUUGACGGGGACCCGCACAAGUAGUGGAGCAUGUGGUUUAAUUCGAAGAUACGCGCAGAACCUUACCAACACUUGACAUGUUCGUCGCGACUCUAAGAGAUUAGAGUUUUCGGUUCGGCCGGACGAAACACAGGUGCUGCAUGGCUGUCGUCAGCUCGUGUCGUGAGAUGUUGGGUUAAGUCCCGCAACGAGCGCAACCCUCACUUUUAGUUGCCAUCAUUAAGUUGGGCACUCUGAAAGAACUGCCAGUGAUAAGCUGGAGGAAGGUGGGGAUGACGUCAAGUCCUCAUGGCCCUUACGUGUUGGGCUACACACGUGCUACAAUGGUAUCUACAACAGGAAGCAAGACUGCGAAGUUAAGCAAAUCCCUAAAAGAUACCUCAGUUCGGAUUGCACUCUGCAACUCGAGUGCAUGAAGCUGGAAUUACUAGUAAUCGUGGAUCAGCGUGCCACGGUGAAUGCGUUCCCGGGUCUUGUACUCACCGCCCGUCAAGGG
rnacentral:rRNA from 1 species